UGACUUUUUUCCUAGUCAAACUUUUUUAGUUCGACUAAAUUUGUAGAAAAAUAUAAUAACAUUCCCAAUACAAAACAAACAUAUUAUCAAAAUAUAUUCAAUGUUAUAUUUAAUGGAACUAAUUUGGUGUUGUAGAUGUUGCUAAAUUUUUUUAUAAACUUAGUCAAACAUAAAGAAGUUUGACUAGGAAAAAAGUCAA
rnacentral:pre_miRNA from 1 species